rnacentral:rRNA from 1 species
AUUGAACGCUGGCGGCAUGCCUUACACAUGCAAGUCGAACGGUAACAGGUCUUCGAAUGCUGACGAGUGGCGAACGGGUGAGUAAUACAUCGGAACGUGCCUAGUAGUGGGGGAUAACUACUCGAAAGAGUGGCUAAUACCGCAUGAGAUCUACGGAUGAAAGCAGGGGAUCGCAAGACCUUGUGCUACUAGAGCGGCCGAUGGCAGAUUAGGUAGUUGGUGGGAUAAAAGCUUACCAAGCCGACGAUCUGUAGCAGGUCUGAGAGGACGAUCAGCCACACUGGGACUGAGACACGCCCCAGACUCCUACGGGAGGCAGCAGUGGGGAAUUUUGGACAAUGGGCGCAAGCCUGAUCCAGCAAUGCCGCGUGCAGGAUGAAGGCCUUCGGGUUGUAAACUGCUUUUGUACGGAACGAAAAGCCCUGGGUUAAUACCCUGGGGUCAUGACGGUACCGUAAGAAUAAGCACCGGCUAACUACGUGCCAGCCGCCGCCGUAACAC